rnacentral:hammerhead_ribozyme from 1 species
ACACUGCUAAGGAGUCCUAUAAUAGGACGAAACGGCCGUCCAGUAC